GAGAGGUAAUCGCAAAAAAGUUUUAUUUUGGAAACGAAAUAAAACUUUUUUGAGGAAAGUCCGGGCUCCCACAUGGCUAAGCUUGCUGGGUAAUUCCCAGUGCGGGAAACCGUGAGGAUAGUGCCACAGAAACAUACCGCCUAAUACUUUUAUAAGUAUGGCAAGGGUGCAAAGGUGCGGUAAGAGCGCACCAGCAAUAUUGAGAGGUAUUGGCUAGGUAAACCCCGGCUGGGAGCAAGGCUAAGUAGACUUAAUGCCAUUGUUAAAGUCUACUUAUUAGCGCCGCUUGAGGCUGAGAAGUAAUUCCAGUCCUAGAUAGAUGAUUACCCGCUUUAAUAUUUUUAAAGUGAACAGAACCCGGCUUAUGACCUGCUUC
rnacentral:RNase_P_RNA from 1 species